UAUGCCGCGGGAGUGGCUCAAGAAAGGCAAAAAAAGACAAAAAUAUAAAAAUUUAAAAAAAUAAGGGAGGCCGAGUGUGUGGAGUAAUAAUAAGCGAAUAAUAAGGAGCCUGAGUGUCUGUACUGAAUUCUCAAUUUUUCUGUAAAUCUAAAACCAUUCUAAAAGUAAUUUUUUUAAACUAACCCACUCAUACCCCCUGGGAUGUGUAUGGUUACCUCCUGACCACCUUGAGUGGCUAAGUUAACUCAUUUUUGUGCACACUCACACCUGUUUGAAUCACGACACAUAUAAAACAAUAAACAGAAGUAUAUGGGCAGUUGAGGGGACUUUAGCCCAAUUUGGGGCGUCCCAAGCAAGCUUCUGGCUCAGCUGCACUGACGAGGGCUGAGCACGCGGACGACUGUUCCUGCCCCAGCGGGACUGCUGUUACAGGCUCCGGGUUCAAAUCUGUUAGACUGGCUGCACUGGCCAGGCUGCCGCACCCGUACCUCUGAACUGGCAGGUCCUUGCAGGUGAAGAGCCACUCUCAUCUGUGGCGGCCCUACCCUCCCGGCAAGCAUCGUCUUUUAUGAAAGGCACUCUGGCCAGCGGGUGGUCGCCCACUGAGGGCUGGCCUGGCUGGGGGUCACCCACUCCCAGGGGCCCCCACUCCCCAGCCACCAGGACCCUCCCACCCCUUUCUGAGCAUGGGUGCCAGCUGAGCAGUCCCAGUGCUGGAAUCAUAUCUGCCCUAAGGGGUGGGGGCCCAGGGUGGCCCCACGUCCUGUGACAUGCUGGCUUGGUGCCUGUGGGGUGGGUCCACCUCGAGCCCACACCCUGAAGCCCACAGGUGCCUCAUUGGCCAGCUCCCUGGUGCCACCCCUUUGCUACCCAGGGUUUCCUGAAAUCUGCAGACAGGUAGUGCCUUGCCCCUGUCCUUAAGGAGUCCAGCCUUCAGCCCUGUCUGGCUGGAAGGAUCCCUAGGAGGGGCCGGGGCUGGAGGGCUCCAGGAGGCCAUAACCAACUCAGGACGGCAGGUCCCCUGAGGAGCAUGGGGAGAGAUUCAUGCCCCUCCCCCGGCCUACUCCUCUGGGUUCUGCCUGGGGUGGGGGGUCCAGACUGUCCUCCCCCAGGGCCAUGCUCUACCCCUCUGGCCCCAACUGCUACCCACUUCUCCUUCCCAAGGAGGCCCACCUGGCCACACCUGGGGACCAGUGGUGUUUACAGGUAACCCUGCUUGGGCACCAGGCGAGCCUGGGAAGGACUCAGCAGAAACCUGGUAACCUGGGGCCUCCCUGAGUCUGUGGCACUUGGCAACCGCCACAGCUCUGGACACUCUGCCUGCGGCUGUGUCGCCACCCGUCCACUUGCUCUUCUCUGGGCCCGGAGGCUGGUCUCCAGGAGAUAAACCGGCCCGGCGUGGGAUCCUUUAGGGGCCCAGGCUUGGUGCCGCUUCUCUCUAGCUGAGUGGUUUUUCCUGAGGGCCCUGAGCCGGAAGUGGGGGUGGGCCUGCGGUGACCCCUCCUGCGGUCCCAGGAUGCUGGACUCCUCAGUGGCAGAUCAAAUGACCCGACUGACCCUGAAACUCCUGGAGAAGAAACUGGAGCAAGAGCGUGAGGACAUGGAUGGGCAUCCUGAGGACCCCCGCCUGGAGACGGGAACCGAGGACGGGCCGGAGGCCGCCCUGUGCAGCGCUCUGCGGAGGAGGAAGAAUCUUCUGCAGAGACUCUGGGAGCAACACCUCCUGGAAGAGGUCUCCCGGGCCCAGGCCUGGAGGGGGGUCGACAGAGGAGCCCGCGGGUCAGCGCCGCCCGCAGAAGUGCCGCCCGUGGGGGUCUCCCCGCCCCCGCCCCCGCCCCCGCUGGACCCGCCUCUGCUCCUCCAACACGCGGCCCCCGCGCCCCCCGCCACCAUCAUCCAGCAGGUGCCUCAGCCGCCGCUCCUCGUGCAGCCGCCCGCUCCGCAGGCCUCCCGCAGCCGGCUCGCGGGGAGCAUCAAGGAAGACAUGGUGGAGAUGAUGCUGAUGCAGAGCGCGCAGGUGCACCAGAUCCUCAUGCAGCAGCUGAUGCUCAGAGCCCUGCCCCCGCCAGCGCUCGCGCCCGCCCCCCUGCACCUCACCCGACAGGACCCGCCGUGGGCCCGCCCCACUGUCCCGAGAGCUGAGAGGCAGAAGCGGCCCUCCGUGCAUCACCACCACCACUACGCACCCCUAGUCCCACCGCAGGCCGGGCCGGGGCCAGGCUGCCCCGUGGGUUACUCCAUGUGGCCCCCGGUGGUCUCCGCCACUGGCUUCCUGCCCACCAUGCGGCACGUGGCUGGCCCCUCAGCGGCUGCUCUCAGCACGGUGGCGUCUGACGGUGUCCUACCCGCACCUGCUCCGGGUCUGUGACCUCCACAGCUGGGCUCAGGCUUGUGAGCAGGGGCCUGUCCCUGUCUGCAUCCUUGGACCCUCACCGUCGCCUGGACGUCAGAGGAAGCACGACGACCUUGAGCUCCCUUGGGCCGGCCGUGCCCGGAUGACAAGAGAGCCAGGGGCCUGGCCUGGCGCGUCCCAUCAGCCUCCUGUCUCCUCAUUUGUACAUCUAAACAGCUGGCUCGUGUCCUGUUUUUAUGGUGACCUUUCCAACAUAAUCGCUAAUGCAACAGAGGGAGACACUUGAUAGACGCUGACUGCCCUUGGCCGGCCUGGUAAACCAGCGAACUGAUUCGCCCGCCUCCUGGGCUGGGAAGCCCAGCUUUUCCCUCCUGUGGGUCCCCGACCAGACCAUUCCACUUCUGUCACCAACUGUGCAGAGAUUUCCGCACGAGCAAU